rnacentral:rRNA from 1 species
GAUGAACGCUGGCGGCGUGCCUAAUACAUGCAAGUCGAGCGAACAGAUAAGGAGCUUGCUCCUUUGACGUUAGCGGCGGACGGGUGAGUAACACGUGGGUAACCUACCUAUAAGACUGGGAUAACUUCGGGAAACCGGAGCUAAUACCGGAUAACAUUUGGAACCGCAUGGUUCUAAAGUGAAAGAUGGUUUUGCUAUCACUUAUAGAUGGACCCGCGCCGUAUUAGCUAGUUGGUAAGGUAACGGCUUACCAAGGCAACGAUACGUAGCCGACCUGAGAGGGUGAUCGGCCACACUGGAACUGAGACACGGUCCAGACUCCUACGGGAGGCAGCAGUAGGGAAUCUUCCGCAAUGGGCGAAAGCCUGACGGAGCAACGCCGCGUGAGUGAUGAAGGGUUUCGGCUCGUAAAACUCUGUUAUUAGGGAAGAACAAAUGUGUAAGUAACUGUGCACGUCUUGACGGUACCUAAUCAGAAAGCCACGGCUAACUGCGUG